AGAGUUUGAUCAUGGCUCAGGAUGAACGCUAGCUACAGGCUUAACACAUGCAAGUCAAGGGGAAACGAUAUUGGAAGCUUGCUUCCGAUAGGCGUCGACCGGCGCACGGGUGAGUAACGUGUAUCCAACCUGCCCACCACUUGGGGAUAACCUUGCGAAAGUAAGGCUAAUACCCAAUGAUAUCUCUAGAAGACAUCUGAAAGAGAUUAAAGAUUUAUCGGUGAUGGAUGGGGAUGCGUCUGAUUAGCUUGUUGGCGGGGUAACGGCCACAAGGCGACGAUCGAGUAGGGGUUCUGAGAGGAACGGUCCCCCACAUUGGAACUGAGACACGGUCCAAACUCCGUACGGGAGCA
rnacentral:rRNA from 1 species